rnacentral:tRNA from 1 species
GGCUCGGUGGCGGAAUGCGUCGACGCGAAAACUGUGCAAGGUUUUUUAUCCAGGUUCAAAUCCUGGCCGAGCCUCCA